CCAAAUCUGCCCAACAAGCAGUCCAAAAUCCUCCACUUUAGCCUAACUAUAGAACACUCUAUAACCCCAUCAAAACUACGUCGUUUUGAUUAAUAUUCCAGACUUUAAUCUCCGCCGUAUAAGCUCUUAAUCCAACGGCUGAAAUUCAUUCUUUCAUUCUCAAAGACCUAGACACAAUUAGCAUUUUAAUUUUUCCAUUCUCUCUCCAAAAUAGAUGCUUCUUCUCCUCCCUUUCCUUUUCUUCACAAAUUCCAUUGUUGCUCAGCCAUGGCAGACCUGCCAUUACCAUUUUUGAACAAGAAGCUCUGCACCUCAUUUAAUUUUCUUCAACAUCAACAUUCAAAUUUCAAACGUUCAAGAGCUUUUCACUCAAUUUCAAAAUCCCGCCCAAACCAAGAACCCUAGAUAUCAGCCUAUAAAUACCCGCCUUUGAAGAGAUUUUCGACCAAGCUGAGAGCUGCCCCUUUUACCCCAAAAAUUGAAGGUCUUCAGCUGUUGCCUUCACCCUUUGAGACCAAACUUAGAGCCACCGCUCUUUCCCUCUAUAAAUUAUUCUAUGCUUAUGAACUGUUAUUCAUCUCAGAAAAGCUUCAUUCUUUUUGACUCCACAACUACUUCUGUUGGAUAUUUACGCUUGCAUAAAAUCGAUUAUCUUCAUUUAUUUUAGUCAAAUAUGCGUUUGUCCUAGAGGAAAGAGUGGUCUUAAAAUUAGAGUUCGAUAACGCAUCUAAGAUCCGUGCCUCGGUUCGCUGCUCCGCAACAGGUUAGUUUUCUUUCUAAACUGUAAUCUUCCCUUAUUUUGUUAUUAGACGUAAAGUAUGUGUUGUUUCAUCUUCUGUAGAAAUAACGUUCCUUAGUGAGUCGUGUUCUAGUUGUUUACUUACAAAAUGUGAAGAAGACAUGUUUGUUAAAAUUACUCUACAAAAUGGGUUAUGCCGUUUUAGCCAGGAAUUAUGAUCUAAGUAUAAGAGUCAUGUUUUAGGAGUUAUAUACAAACCGUGCAUUUAAGCAUUUUAUAAGAUAGACCAUGUAUUUUUAAAAGAUUGAGUGGUCAGUGCUUUCUUCUUUUUAUCCUUCCCCUUUUCUUUCGAAUCUGCUAGUUUUGAAUAUUUUUUUGAUUUGGUUUAAGUUGAGAUUAAUUCAUGUCCUAUGUCCUAGAUAUCAUGAAAAAUAAGUAUUCGUCAUAUGUUUGAUAAAUCAUUAAGUUAAUAUGACAUUCUUAUGAUUCUUGGGUUUGUUAAAAGUAGUAUGUUAAGCAUUUUUUAUCUAUAUAUAUAUAAAUCGUGAUUUAGUUGAUGUCUAUGUCAUGAUUAGGACUCAUUUUAUUUAUAAAUUCACACUUAUUUACUAGAGGUUUAUAAAUACUAUGCCUAUAGGUCCCAUUAUUUUUGCAGAGAAUUUUAAGAGAGUAUAAUUCAUGUCUAGUUACCAUGAGUAUGCAAAAUUUACUAUGCCUAAUACUGUCUUUUUUUUUUGUUUGAAUGUAGAAGGCUAUUGGUUUUUGAGGAAUAUAGAAUGCUUUGUUGUCUAUUGUUUGGAUUCGUUUAACCAUAGAAGAAUACGCCUGUAGGUUUAUUGAACUAUGAAAAUUGUCUAAUGGUUAUCACUAACUGCUGAAUACAUAUUAUUGGAUUAUAAACAUAUUAUAAAUUUAAGUCUUUCCUCUCAGUACUGAAAUCUUGAUUGCAUGACAGCAUAUCUUUUUUAUUUUGAAUCCGAUAAUUUAAAGUGCAUUCAUUAUGUAUUCACCCUAAAUUUACCUUUAGUAUAGAGGAUAACUAACCAAAGUAGAUUAUCAUCAGUAAUAUCUACAAGAAAUAGGGACUUAUUUACUACUAAGGUCCUGUUAUAAAUCAAAAGAAGUAUAAUACUAGUUUUAUUGCCUUUAUAUGCUGUUACUGUUAUAGAUGACUCCUAAUUCUUUAUUUUUCCUUUUCUUUGCAUGCACACUUUGGAUCAAAUAGAGUCUUAAUUCGAGACUCGCAGUGGAGUCUCAUAGAGACUCAAUAUUACCCCAUCACCACAUGGAGUCGUUACAUACCAUCUUCUUUAGAGCACCAGAUAGCGAGGAAAACAAGCGAAUCGCUUGGGAUCGCCUAUGGCGGCUUUGUUUUCUACUUAUUCUGUCUGAUGUUGUUAAUCUUUGUGAUUUGUUUAUUUGAACUUAUGAUUGAUGAUUAAUUUUAUCAUUUAAAAUUACAACUUUAGUUUUGGCAAAGUAUUUUAUUGAAAAAAGGACUUAAAAGGAUAGUGCUAAGAGCUUUGGGGAGAUAGUUACCAAUUGAGUCUUUAUUUUUUUUUAAACUUUUGAGAAAGUAUUUUUAUAAGCUAAGAUAGAAUUUGAACAUAUUUUCAAAUCAAUUGACUCUUUACUCAAAAGGACGCCUUUUUCACGAUAAGCUUUUUGAUAAAUUUGAGUUGAAUAUUUAACCAAACUACAUCGGAACUUUGAUCCAUUUCCUAAGUAAAAAAGACAGUUUUUCUCAAGUUUAGUUUUAAUAAAAUUUCAAUCCAACAUGUAAUUUUUUUGUUUUGAAACCUAAGCAUAUUUUGCUAAUUCAAAAUAUUUAGAUUUGGAUUUGAAAUUUGAUUUCUUUUAAAAGACGUCCUAGUCCAUAGAGAUUCUUUCUGGAGUCACUUUUUUAGCUGUAAACUAAUCUAAGUUGGGCGGUUAACCAUUUUUAAUGGAUCUUAAAAGGUGCUUUACCCCUUCCUUUUAAAAUAAUUAGAACCCUUACCUAGAAUUUUUAAGACUAAGCAGACCAUAUAAAACAGAGUUAACUUUAAGCAUUACUUAGUUAAAAUUUGUGUCCUAAUUCACCAUUAAUACAAUUAGGUGGCGACUCUUUUAAUUAAUUAAACCUCAAAUUUACCAAUAUGUUAUACUCUAAUUUGACCCAUGUUAAAAUGGGGUAUAACAGCUUGGCGACUCUGUUGGGGAUUUCUAGGUUCUAAACCACAACAAACUUAGGUUAAUAAUAAAAAUUAAUUUGUGUGUUUUUGAUUGUUAUGAUGUUUAUUUGAAUUGCCGUUAUAAGAUAAAUGGUAUUUUAUGAAUUGUUCAUCUAUUCUUUUUGCUUUAUAUAAAUUGUCAUUCCCAUUUCACUUCCUCCACUUCUGGAAAAUUCACACAAAGCAUACACCUAGCGGUUACGUGGUUUGCGGCCGUGCACUACUCAAAAUACCUUUUAAGGAAAAGUUCGUAGGUAAGUCGAUCAACGGUGCAAUCGACAGUCAUGGGCUUUCCGCUCUCAAGUGUCAACUUGGGACCAGACCAGUCUAGAAAACCCAUUCUUAGUCAACCUAAGAUAGAGCUAAACCAAAACCCUUUUAAGAGCAUGCAUCAUUUUAACCUUAGGUGAUUUAAUACCCGAGGUGUAUUAAACCCAUUAGUUGACAUUACCUAAAUGUUCAAGUGGGUUUUCAACCCCAAAUGACCCCUUAUCACGUAAAUGUGCAUUAUUUGAAGGGUGAACAUGCCAAUUAUGUGGAUCAUUUACUUUAAAUUAAUAAUAUCCAAGUUAAAGAAGCAUGACUAUCUUUUUUAUAACAUGUGUAAAGUUUUCAAACGACAUUAUCUUGCGGAACAACGAAAAGUUUACACAUGACAAAAUAUUUUUUAUUGUACUUUCUUUUGAUUUUUUUUACGUAAAAAUAAAUAAAAUGGUUUAAGCAAUUCAUGUA
rnacentral:lncRNA from 1 species